AUCCCGUGGUGAGGACACACUAGGAUGUACUCCUAAAGCCUCUCCCAUGCUUCAGGAAUGGACUCAUUGGACGUCUGCUAGAAGCUAGACAUCCUUCCACGAAGAGC